CCGGCGACGUCGCGAGAAGUCCACUGAACCUUAUCAUUUAGAGGAAGGCAGAUAGUCGUAACAAGGUUUCCGUAGGUGAACCUGCGGAAGGAUCAUUG
rnacentral:rRNA from 1 species